GCCUUUUUUUUUUUUUUUUUUUAAUUGUCCAUUUUGUCUUGUAGCAUUACCUUUUAUUAUGUAAAUGAACCACUGGUUGGAUACAUGCAGUUACAGGGGAAACCCAUCUCCUAAAAAUGCCGUGAUUAAAUAGUGCAGAGUAGCAUGCAUGCUCUUGGAAGUCGAGUCCUAAAGGGGAAGUCAUGAAUUCAGGAGGGCAAUGCUGAGCAGAUGAAAGCGGUUUGAACUGGUACCAGCCUUCUUUCUCCUUCCUCUCUGUCCAGAAGGAGCAUGGUUUAUCCUGGAUGGCUGCGUACGAGACUGUUUACACUGCCUGAUUCAUAGCCAUACUCUGAGUUUCCUACUUGUGUUUUUCUAGCCUACUUUGUUUUGUGACAAGCAAGGGGAACAUAUCGCAAAGGAGAAGGAAGCUUCUGUUCUAGGGAAGUUCAAAGAAAAACAAGUGAUGCAAGGAACACGCCAAAACUACCUUGACAGCAUGAAAUGUCUGUCAUACGGCAAAUCAUUUCUGCAAUGGCGAUUCGUCUCCAAAUCGUCACCUUUUUAAACUAUCUGAAAAAUGCAAUGGCUGGAAGAAUAAACCUAGUAAAUUAAAUAGAAGGCAAAGUGGAGUUAGUUUUUCUUUCUCGAGGCACGGUCGUGGGUGCCUCUGGGGGAGAUACUGAAAGCAUGAUGAAGAUUUUCAAGGUUGACAGUCUUGAACUUGACAAAUCACCAGGUCUUAAAGACAAUAAGGUGCCUUAUAGUUUGAGCUACUAGACAAAAGCUUGAAUGAACGACCAAACGUCUUGGAUUGCCUGGGACAGGUCUCGCACUGUGGAACAGCAAGAAGAGACGGUGAUGCAUGGACUAAAACCAGGAGACUUCAAUGCCAAGGAUCAGACACAUGCCAGCGUAAUGUCGAAAAACCGUGGACACAGGCUGGAGGUGGUGGAAAUCAGACUGGCCCAGAAACAAGGAGAAACGCCGUUCAGCUGAUCUUCUGCGGACUUCCUACCAAAGCCAUCGCGCGCAACAUAUGAGCAAGGCCAAGCAGACCUACAUGGACAAGAUGCUACUGAUUGGAGAAGAAAUGCCAACGUUCCUGAACAUCCCGCUGCAAAACACAUCACUGCUCAGGAUGCACAUGCCAAUGCAUCAUGCUUGGGACAUGGGCCUCAUGCCUGGAGACUGUGGUCAGGUCAGAGGGAGGGCAGGCACUGGGAGAGGUACCUCCUGGGAUGCUGGAGGACUGCACAUUCUUUGUUUUAUCUCUGUGGAGCAAACUGAAGUUACCCUAACAUGAGCUAGGUAGCACAGCCAGGUAACCCACGCCUGAAGUGGCAUAACUUUGAGAUGCUCAGAGGGCACUGAGCACAAGUUCAUGAGCUUUAACAUGCAGACAACUCACAUGGUAAGUGCCUUUAGUAUGGUCUAAUUGUACCAUGUAACUUCACCCUUAGAGCAUUUCCCUUAGCUCUAUCAACUCCUUCUCUCUAAAUAACCCCUUGGAAACCUCACAGGUUUUCCAAAGACACUGCAAAGAGGGGACCUCCCUGACUUUGCCCAGUGAUUCCAAGUUUCUCCUCCUUCCAGUUUGCUCACCAUCAUUUUGCAGCUGAAAACUGCAACUUGUCUAAGAUGUGUAGUGCCCAGACCAGAUCCAGCCCCUGGAGGCAGCCCCGCAGUGGAGUUCCUGACUCGCAUGGGAGUAGCGGAGACAAAAUUUGCCACUGCCCGCUCUUUCCUUCUACCUCCCCGGCCACCUCUCCGAUCAGCUACUCUGUCUUCUGCCUUCUUUAGCGUGAGAAAAGGAGUUUGUGGCCAUUGCUCUUAUCACUUCUUAUUAAGGAGGGUUCUUAAAGGCACGUAAAAAGUCAGUGGGAAUCACUGCCUUUUGUGCCUUUGACAAUCCUCUGCUGUAUUAUUAUUAGCUGAGCGCUGAGAGCAAGCCCAGGACUAUGCAGAGCACUGAGGGCGGUAUGAGCUCAGUCCCAGGGGGCUGAGAAUCUGAGACGUGCACUAGACAAGGAGAGAUCAUCUUCCCUCACCCCAAUUCUUCCCACAAUAUCCAUUUUCCACUGUGCUAAUUAACCAGUGAGCAUUGACCCCUCCAAACACACCACUUCCCCAGGCACCACACCAAGCCCCCACAGAAGUUCCUUUCUGUGUCUGAACGAAAAGCAAAAGACAAGGCAACUUCAUCUCUCUGAGUCUGCCAUGCAGCCGACCGCCAGUGCUCGGCUCCGAACGUCUCACUUGGAGUCUAGUGUAACUUUUGUGCCAUCUACUGUUUAUUAAAGAUUUCAUAGAUUUCAUAGACAUUGGGCUGGAAAGGACCCCGGAGGAUCAAGUCCAGCCCUCUGCCCCAGGGGCAGGAAGUCAGCUGGGAUCAUAGGAUCUCAGCGAGA